UACUUAUGUAUUGAUAUAGGCAUCUGUUCUGCAUAGGACUUCUGAUAUUGAAUUCUACCGUUGCAGGUUGAUGUCUACCCUUUGAAGAUUCAAUUAAGUGAAAGCAAGUAUAAGAUGAUGUGGAAUUAUUUCUUUCCAGAAGAUGAGCAAGAUCCACAGAGACGGCAAUACAAGUUUGAGCACAAGGGAGAGAUCUCCCAGCCAGCAGUCUUAAUCUCAGUGACAUUGAUGGAGUACAAAUUCCUCUACAAUUUCUCAAACACCCCAAUGAUGGUUCUGGCCAUGGAUUUUUCACCUCCAUUACGAGACUGUUCAGUUCUCAACGUCGUAAAGCCAAGGCUUUUGUACUUUGAACUAUUAUGAGAGGAGAUGCAGAGGGUGAUUUUCUGGGCGACUGGAGAGAAGGUGAUGCUGAGAUAUCUCAUUUUGCCCGACAACUCACAAUAACAAAAGCUAAGAAGCUUAUCCGGCGGCACACUCAGAGAGUCAUUUAUCAUGUUUCGUCACCGUUUACAAGAUCUUGAAAAUCCUGAACAAGAUUUGCUUCUAUCCAUCCUCAAAGGUUAGAGUUGAUUCUUCUUCAAGCGGCUGCAAACGAACCAAGCUGAGCCGAGCUUUAGCAUGUUCGAACCCAAGCUCGUCUGUCAGGACCCUGUUCGAGCUCUGCUCGUUUAGAUAAAACUUUGCUCGAGCUCGUUUACCUCUUAACGAGCUACUCAUUGAAAAGUGGAGCAAGUUGGCAGUCUUAAAAAAAUGAAAUUCAAUUCGCACCAUAGCAAAAACAUCAUCAAUCCUUUAUCCCACUAUGUGGGGUCAGCCACAUGAACCCUUUUUCUCAUUUUUGCUGCCUAUUCAAAAUUAUUAAUAUUAAUUUGUAAUAAAUAUUAUGUUUUGAAUGUUUGGUAGGCAUUACUAGAGAAUGUGGCAAUGUAUUUGAUCAAAAGAGCAGAGCUAUCAAUUAAAAUUAAAUAUUGUGGAAGCUGCUAAAUA